UCCCAGACUCCUACGGGAGGCAGCAGUGAGGAAUAUUGGUCAAUGGGCUUACGCCUGAACCAGCCAAGUCGCGUGAGGGAAGACUGCCCUAUGGGUUGUAAACCUCUUUUGUCAGGGAGCAACGCCGGCUACGUGUAGCCGGACUGAGAGUACCUGAAGAAAAAGCAUCGGCUAACUCCGUGCCAGCAGCCGCGGUAAUACGGAGGAUGCGAGCGUUAUCCGGAUUUAUUGGGUUUAAAGGGUGCGUAGGCGGUCCGUUAAGUCAGCGGUAAAAUUGCGGGGCUCAACCCCGUCGAGCCGUUGAAACUGGCAGACUUGAGUUGGCGAGAAGUACGCGGAAUGCGCGGUGUAGCGGUGAAAUGCAUAGAUAUCACGCAGAACUCCGAUUGCGAAGGCAGCAUACCGGCGCCCAACUGUCGCUGAAGCACGAAAGCGUGGGUAUCGAACAGGAUUAGAUACCCCGGUACG
rnacentral:rRNA from 1 species